rnacentral:rRNA from 1 species
CAGCAGUAGCCGCGGUAAUACGUAGGGUGCAAGCGUUAAUCGGAAUUACUGGGCGUAAAGCGUGCGCAGGCGGUUUGUUAAGACAGAUGUGAAAUCCCCGGGCUCAACCUGGGAACUGCAUCUUAUACUGGGUAACUGGAGUGCAGUAGAGGGUAGUGGAAUUUCCGGUGUAGCGGUGAAAUGCGUAGAUAUCGGAAGGAACACCAGUGGCGAAGGCGGCUACCUGGACUGAGACUGACACUGAGGCGCGAGAGCGUGGGGAGCAAACAGGAUUAGAGACCCCUGUAGUCCCUGUCUCUUAUAU